CCCUGAAUAGCUCAGUGGGCAGAGCAUGAGACUCUUAAUCACAGAGUUGUGAGUUCUAGCCCCAUGUUGGGCU